GAUGAAGAACGUAGCGAAAUGCGAUACGUAAUGUGAAUUGCAGAAUUGAGUGAAUCAUCGAGUCUUUGAACGCACAUUGCGCCCCCUGGUAUUCCGGGGGGCAUGCCUGUCCGAGCGUCAUUGCUGCCCUCAAGCACGGCUUGUGUGUUGGGCCUCCGCCCCCCGGCUCCCGGGGGGCGGGCCCGAAAGGCAGCGGCGGCACCGCGUCCGGUCCUCGAGCGUAUGGGGCUUCGUCACCCGCUCCGUAGGCCCGGCCGGCGCCCGCCGGCGACCCCCCUCAAUCUUUCCAGGUUGACCUCGGAUCAGGUAGGGAUACCCGCUGAACUUAAGCAUAUCAAUAAGCGGAGGA
rnacentral:misc_RNA from 1 species